rnacentral:lncRNA from 1 species
CGAGGGCAAGGGUUGGGACGGGGUCCUGAUCCUUGACUACCUGAUCAACUCCGUCACCAUCGUCGUGGUCGCCAUCCCGGAGGGUCUCCCCCUGGCCAUCACGCUCGGCCUCGCGUUCGCGAUGCGCAAAAUGAUGGCGGACCAGAACCUGGUGCGCCGCCUGGAGGCGUGCGAGACGAUGGGUAGCGCCACGCAGCUCAACGCAGACAAGACCGGGACUCUGACCCAAAACAGGAUGACGGUGACGGACGCGUACCUGGGCGGCACCCAGUACGACUCGGUCCCGCCCGAUGACAUAUCCGAUGAGUUCGCCGCAUUACUCGCCGAGAGCAUCUGCGUCAACUCCGACGCCAACCUCGCGCACAACGAGAACGGCACCGUCGACCACAUCGGAUCCAAGACGG